CCCUUAGACGUUCUGGGCCGCACGCGCGCUACACUGACCAGUGCAACAAGCAUCCGUCCUUGGCCGACAGGCCCGGGCAAUCUUUGAACGCUGGUCGUGAUGGGGAUAGACUUUUGCAAUUUUUGGUCUUCAACGAGGAAUUCCUAGUAAACGCAAGUCAUCAACUUGCAUUGAUUACGUCCCUGCCCUUUGUACACACCGCCCGUCGCACCUACCGAUUGAAUGUUUCGGUGAAGAUUCCGGAUAGGACUGAUUUGAUUUAUUUCAUUUCUGACCUAAAAGCUAUCUAAACCUCAACAUUUAGAGGAAGGUGAAGUCGUAACA
rnacentral:rRNA from 1 species